AUUGAACGCUGGCGGCAGGCUUAACACAUGCAAGUCGAGCGAGCGGCGGACGGGUGAGUAAUGUCUGGGAAACUGCCUGCUGGAGGGGGGUAACUACUGGAAACGGUAGCUAAUACCGCAUACCAUCAGAUGUUCCCAGAUGGGAUUAGCUAGUAGGUGGGGGAAUGGCUCACCUAGGCGACGAUCCCUAGCUGGUCUGAGAGGAUGACCAGCCACACUGGAACGGAGCAAGGGUCAAGACCCCUACGGGAGGCAGAAGUGGGGAAUAUUGCACAAGGGGCGCAAGCCUGAUGCAGACAUGCCGCGUGUGGGAAGAAGGCCUUCGGGUUGUAAAGCACUUUCAGAGAGGAGGCGUUACUCGCAGAAGAAGCACCGGCUAACUCCGUGCCAGCAGCCGCGGUAAUUC
rnacentral:rRNA from 1 species